AAUGAAAACACUAAGGAAGAUGACCUUUCAGUGCAACGAGAUGAAAAUGACCCAGCACUAAUAAAUCUUAGCCAGUGUGCUAAUAAGCCUGUGAAGCAGAAGAAAGAGACAGGGUAAAAUGAAAUCACUUAAUGGUGACUCAAGAAAAUGGAUUAAACACUGGGAAAAAACUGAAUGAUUAAUAUGUCAGUUACAAGUUAACUAAAAAAUAUUUAAGGCUGAAAUAAAAGUAGUGUUAUAGCCGACCAGGUAACUAAUGUUUCACCCUAGGACUAAAUUUUUAAUGAGAGUGAUUGCUAAGAGAAAUUUCUUUUAAAUUUGUACAUAUAGAGCCAUUAUUUUCCUUCCAGUGGAUUUUAAGAGUAGCUAUUGUGAAAUUAAAUAAAAUGACUUUAGUAUGCUGUAUGUGAAUUUUCUCAACCACUUUGAGGUGAAAGGCAUUUGUUCUGUUUUUCCUGCCUGCUAAAGUUACAGUUAUGCAGUGGCCCUACAGCUGCUGGGCUUGGAUGACGGGACUGGGCCCAGUAACAGGGAUCCUGUCCUGAUGAGGGGGACCUACUUGUCCUUUCUGUAUCUGCGUCACCUGAGGAUCCGGGAGCUGCAGCGCAUCUGCUUAGGAAUUCUGAACUAUUUUAGAUCUGUUGAGCGAACACUGACGAUCAACACUUCAGGCCUUACCUUGGUUUCAGGGAGCCUGGUCCCUACCUCAGAAGACAGUUCCUGGGUAAAUAAAGCAAAAGGAGGCAUGGGCACCUCGCAAGGCCUAGGCGCUCACCACUAUGCCCACGGGACACCUGCCGAGCACAGGGUCACAAAGAGGGCAGCAAGUCACAUAUUGACCAGGACUGGGGAUGGACCCAUGCAGGUGUGGACAGAUUUGCUGUGCUGUAUGACAUGUGGACUUGGGAAGCAACUCUUCUAGAAAGCAAGCGCCAGCUUCUUGACAGUUACUUUGAAGCCUACCAGCAUGCAUUGGACCCAGAGGAGAGAUUUGCCUUAGCACAAGUGAUCACAGACAUCAUGCACAGGUGCCCAAGGUUUGACUUCAGUCAUCCUUACUUCAUUAAGGCCUACCGAGAGGAAUGCACCUGCCUGAGGCUUCACCUGCAGCUGGUGAGGGGCAUCCUCAAUCAGCACGUGAGUAUAUUUGGUUUUUUUUAAGAUUCCAUGUGGGAAGAGGAUGGAAAACA
ensembl:lncRNA